rnacentral:rRNA from 1 species
GACGAACGCUGGCGGCGUGCUUAACACAUGCAAGUCGAACGGAAAGGCCCUGCUUUUGUGGGGUGCUCGAGUGGCGAACGGGUGAGUAACACGUGAGUAACCUGCCCUUGACUUUGGGAUAACUUCAGGAAACUGGGGCUAAUACCGGAUAGGAGCUCCUGCUGCAUGGUGAGGGUUGGAAAGUUUCGGCGGUUGGGGAUGGACUCGCGGCUUAUCAGCUUGUUGGUGGGGUAGUGGCUUACCAAGGCUUUGACGGGUAGCCGGCCUGAGAGGGUGACCGGCCACAUUGGGACUGAGAUACGGCCCAGACUCCUACGGGAGGCAGCAGUGGGGAAUAUUGCACAAUGGGCGGAAGCCUGAUGCAGCAACGCCGCGUGCGGGAUGACGGCCUUCGGGUUGUAAACCGCUUUCGCCUGUGACGAAGCGUGAGUGACGGUAAUGGGUAAAGAAGCACCGGCUAACUACGUGCCAGCAGCCGCGGUGAUACGUAGGGUGCGAGCGUUGUCCGGAUUUAUUGGGCGUAAAGGGCUCGUAGGUGGUUGAUCGCGUCGGAAGUGUAAUCUUGGGGCUUAACCCUGAGCGUGCUUUCGAUACGAGUUGACUUGAGGAAGGUAGGGGAGAAUGGAAUUCCUGGUGGAGCGGUGGAAUGCGCAGAUAUCAGGAGGAACACCAGUGGCGAAGGCGGUUCUCUGGGCCUUUCCUGACGCUGAGGAGCGAAAGCGUGGGGAGCGAACAGGCUUAGAUACCCUGGUAGUCCACGCUGUAAACGGUGGGUACUAGGUGUGGGGUCCAUUCCACGGGUUCCGUGCCGUAGCUAACGCUUUAAGUACCCCGCCUGGGGAGUACGGCCGCAAGGCUAAAACUCAAAGGAAUUGACGGGGCCCCGCACAAGCGGCGGAGCAUGCGGAUUAAUUCGAUGCAACGCGUAGAACCUUACCUGGGUUUGACAUGGAUCGGGAGUGCUCAGAGAUGGGUGUGCCUCUUUUGGGGUCGGUUCACAGGUGGUGCAUGGCUGUCGUCAGCUCGUGUCGUGAGAUGUUGGGUUAAGUCCCGCAACGAGCGCAACCCUUGUUCACUGUUGCCAACACGUUAUGGUGGGGACUCAGUGGAGACCGCCGGGGUCAACUCGGAGGAAGGUGGGGAUGACGUCAAGUCAUCAUGCCCCUUAUGUCCAGGGCUUCACGCAUGCUACAAUGGCUGGUACAGAGAGUGGCGAGCCUGUGAGGGUGAGCGAAUCUCGGAAAGCCGGUCUCAGUUCGGAUUGGGGUCUGCAACUCGACCUCAUGAAGUCGGAGUCGCUAGUAAUCGCAGAUCAGCAACGCUGCGGUGAAUACGUUCCCGGG